rnacentral:rRNA from 1 species
CCUACGGGAGGCAGCAGUGGGGAAUAUUGGGCAAUGGGCGCAAGCCUGACCCAGCAACGCCGCGUGAAGGAAGAAGGCUUUCGGGUUGUAAACUUCUUUUAAGAGGGAAGAGCAGAAGACGGUACCUCUUGAAUAAGCCACGGCUAACUACGUGCCAGCAGCCGCGGUAAUACGUAGGUGGCAAGCGUUGUCCGGAUUUACUGGGUGGAAAGGGCGUGCAGCCGGGAAGACAAGUCAGAUGUGAAAUCCCGCGGCUCAACCGCGGAACUGCAUUUGGAACUGUUGUGCUUGAGUACCGGAGAGGUCAUCGGUAUUCCUUGUGUAGCGGUGAAAUGCGUAGAUAUAAGGAAGAACACCAGUGGCGAAGGCGGAUGACUGGACGGCAACUGACGGUGAGGCGCGAAAGCGUGGGGAGCAAACAGGAUUAGAUACCCGGGUAGUC